CCACGAGAAUCGUUUCCUAUGGGCGCAGACAUGUUUACUGAUGCAUCAUGGGCGAUGUAAAUUUGUUCUAAAAAUAAAUUAAUAAAACGAGAACAAAACGCUAAAAACAGAAAGAAUCAAGUAAUGUGAAAUUAAUAACAAUAAACCAGUUGUAAGGAAUAACCUUGUUGUCUACUAAAUGUUUUAAAACGGAGUUGCCGAAAAUAAAUCUGUGACCUGCUGCAAUCCGUCUGCAACUUUCGAGGGCUUCAAGAGUGGAUGAACGAACUGGGACACAGGCACCAAGGGCCACAGAUAUUCCACAGCCAAAAUGGCGGACAUGGAUUCCUUGCCGACUAGAUCGAGUGCAAGACUGAGGCAAAGACGUCAGAGAGCUGCAGCAGGAGACUCAGACGUAACAGACAAGAAAGAACAUCUAAAAUCCCCCGUGCCAAAGAUGAUGGAAGUGAACAUUCACGAUGAUAAUAUUGAUGUUACGUCCCCACACCAUCGCCUUCUUCACGAGGAUGGCGAGCAGCAGAGGACGUCGGAUGGAGAGGCGAAUGGUGGCACCAGCAUAAGAACCGCCCCUGAACCCAGUGAUACUGAAACAGUACUUAAUGAACAAGAAUUAAAGAAAGGACUUCUGGGUAAAGACUCUGACGAUGAUCUCCAUGAAAAAAAAUUGACCGGGAAAGAAGAGACAGAGUUCACAAUUCUUCUUCAAGUGUUGCUGCCCUAUAUCAUUGCAGGGUUUGGAACUGUGGCUGCUGGUAUGGUGUUGGAUAUUGUACAGCAUUGGUCUGUGUUUCACAAGGUCCCAGAGCUGUUUAUACUGGUGCCACCAUUACUGGGGUUGAAGGGAAACCUAGGAAUGACAUUGGCUUCCAGACUCUCAACACAGGUUAAUCUUGGUUACUUAGAUGAAGUAAAAGAACAGUGGAAGUCUAUAGGUGGUAAUACAGUGUUAACUCAGGGUCAGUCAAUAGUUACGGCUUUUGUAGCAUCUGUGCUAGCUGUAGCCAUGGGUUGGGUACCCGAAGGAAAGUUUAACAUCAACCAUGUCAUGCUGAUGGGGGCUAGUAGUAUACUCACCAACUGCUUAGCCUCACUUUUCUUAGGAAUUCUGAUGAUGCUGGUGGUACUGUACUCCAGGAAAUUGAAUAUCAACCCAGACAAUAUAGCAACACCUCUUUCGGCAAGCCUGGGUGAUCUGGUGACCAUUGUUCUCUUGGCAACCAGUAGCUCUUGGUUGUAUGAUCAGAUAGAAUUAAAUCCUUGGCUCUCUCCUGCCAUAGUAUUAGUAUCUGUUAUAGUCCUUACACCUAUGUGGUUAAUACUGGCCACAAAGUACAAAUACACCAGAGACGUGGUCUAUCAUGGCUGGACACCGGUCAUCUGUGCUGUGGCCAUAAGCAGUGUGGGUGGCCUGAUUUUAGACUAUGCUGUGACACAUUUUCAUGGCCUGGCUGUAUUUCAACCUGUGAUAAAUGGUGUGGGAGGUAACCUGGUGGCUGUUCAGGCCAGCAGACUGGCCACGUCGUUACAUCGGGUCAGUAAACCAGGGAUCAUGCCAGAAAAUGCGCCACGAGCAUGUGCGAAUCCUUGCACAGCUUUCUGUGGGAAAGAAGACCCAGAAGAAGGUCUCAAUCCCCCCGUGAAUAGCACAUGUGCCUAUUGUUUCCAGGACCUCAUUCAAGAACAGCCCGUGUGUUGCUUGGUUUGGUGGUACCUGGGCAUCUUCUCUUCAUGUGUGCCAUUGCUCUAGUGGGUGCAGGACAUACAACUAUCACUGCCAGGUUUACUGCUGUUUAUCUCCUGGCUGCAGUUAUACAGGUAAUCGUCCUGCUGUACCUUGCCAACUGGAUGGUGCACUUUAUGUGGAAGAGUGGAGAUGAUCCAGAUAACUUUGCUAUCCCGUACCUCA
rnacentral:misc_RNA from 1 species